UGCUGCGUCUCGCGGGUGAGACGCGCGCCUCAUGAGCGCGCCGGAGCCGGUUCGACUCCGGUCGCAGCGCCCA
rnacentral:tRNA from 1 species